rnacentral:sRNA from 1 species
AUUUUGCCUUCCUUUGGUAAAGUUCUGUGAUUCCAUGAUCUUCUGAUGUGGGAAGAAAAUCUUGAAAUAGGAUGGCACUUAGCAGGCAAACAUGCACGCUGCGGAGAGGUGCCCGCCUCUUUGAGGUUGGAAUAUCUGCACCCCUGUGAUAGAGCCUGUGCUCUUUAUCUGCUCCA